rnacentral:rRNA from 1 species
UACGGAGGGUGCAAGCGUUAAUCGGAAUUACUGGGCGUAAAGCGCACGCAGGCGGUCUGUCAAGUCGGAUGUGAAAUCCCCGGGCUCAACCUGGGAACUGCAUUCGAAACUGGCAGGCUAGAGUCUUGUAGAGGGGGGUAGAAUUCCAGGUGUAGCGGUGAAAUGCGUAGAGAUCUGGAGGAAUACCGGUGGCGAAGGCGGCCCCCUGGACAAAGACUGACGCUCAGGUGCGAAAGCGUGGGGAGCAAACAGGAUUAGAUACCCUGGUAGUCCACGCCGUAAACGAUGUCGACUUGGAGGUUGUGGCCUGGAGGCGUGGCUGCCGGAGCUAACGCGUUAAAUCGACCGCCUGGGGAGUACGGCCGCAAGGUUAAA